rnacentral:rRNA from 1 species
AUGGGGGCACUCCAUAUAGUGGCGCAAGGGUUAGUAAUACAUAGAUAAUCUGCCUCUGACCUGGGAAUAACGGCUGGAAACGGCCGCUAAUACCGAAUGAGGUGGCACAGGGCAUCCUGUGCUUAUCAAUGCGGGGGAUCGAAAGACCUUGUGGUUAGAGAAGAGUCUAUGGGAUAUCAGCUAGUUGGUGAGGUAAUGGCUCACCAAGGCUAAGACGUCUAGGCGGAUUGAGAGAUUGACCGCCAACACUGGGACUGAGACACUGCCCAGACUCCUACGGGAGGCUGCAGUCGAGAAUCUUUCGCAAUGGGCGCAAGCCUGACGAAGCGACGCCGUGUGAGCGAAGAAGGCCUUCGGGUUGUAAAGCUCUUUCGCUAGGGAACAAGAGAUAUGGGACAAUACCCCAUAGAUUUGAUGGUACUUGGUAAAGAAGCACCGGCUAACUCCGUGCCAGCAGCUGCGGUAAUACGGAGGGUGCAAGCAUUGAUCGGAAUUACUGGGCGUAAAGGGCGCGUAGGCGGUAGAAUAAGUCAGAUGUGAAAUUCCGGGGCUCAACCCCGGAGCUGCAUUUGAAACUAUUCAACUAGAGUUCAGUUAGGGUAAACGGAAUUCCACGUGUAGCGGUGAAAUGCGUAGAUAUGUGGAAGAACACCGGUGGUGAAGACGGUUUACUGGGCUGAUACUGACGCUGAGGCGCGAAAGCAUGGGGAGCAAACA